rnacentral:rRNA from 1 species
AUACGGAGGGUGCAAGCGUUGUUCGGAAUUACUGGGCGUAAAGCGCGUGCAGGCGGUAAGGUAAGUCAGAUGUGAAAGCCCCGGGCUCAACCCGGGAAGUGCAUUUGAUACUGCCUUUCUCGAGUAUGGGAGAGGAGAGUGGAAUUCCCAGUGUAGAGGUGAAAUUCGUAGAUAUUGGGAGGAACACCCGUGGCGAAGGCGACUCUCUGGACCAAUACUGACGCUGAGACGCGAAAGCGUGGGGAGCGAACAGGAUUAGAAACCCUAGUAGUCC